rnacentral:rRNA from 1 species
CAGCCGCCGCGGUAAUACGUAGGUGGCAAGCGUUAUCCGGAAUUAUUGGGCGUAAAGCGCGCGUAGGCGGUUUUUUAAGUCUGAUGUGAAAGCCCACGGCUCAACCGUGGAGGGUCAUUGGAAACUGGAAAACUUGAGUGCAGAAGAGGAAAGUGGAAUUCCAUGUGUAGCGGUGAAAUGCGCAGAGAUAUGGAGGAACACCAGUGGCGAAGGCGACCUUCUGGUCUGUAACUGACGCUGAUGUGCGAAAGCGUGGGGAUCAAACAGGAUUAGAUACCCGUGUAGUCCCUGUCUCUUAUAC